AUUGCAAUCUCAGCCUACAACGCCAUAGGUUGGGUUCAAUCAAGUAAUAUAUAUUGCUGUGUGUAGUCUUUGCCUGUCAGCCCAUGAUAGGCUUUUUUUUUG
rnacentral:sRNA from 1 species